rnacentral:rRNA from 1 species
CUCUGUGGGAUCAGUGGCGAACGGGUGAGUAACACGUGAGCAACCUGCCCCUGACUCUGGGAUAAGCGCUGGAAACGGCGUCUAAUACUGGAUAUGUGACGUGAUCGCAUGGUCUGCGUCUGGAAAGAAUUUCGGUUGGGGAUGGGCUCGCGGCCUAUCAGCUUGUUGGUGAGGUAAUGGCUCACCAAGGCGUCGACGGGUAGCCGGCCUGAGAGGGUGACCGGCCACACUGGGACUGAGACACGGCCCAGACUCCUACGGGAGGCAGCAGUGGGGAAUAUUGCACAAUGGGCGCAAGCCUGAUGCAGCAACGCCGCGUGAGGGACGACGGCCUUCGGGUUGUAAACCUCUUUUAGCAGGGAAGAAGCGAAAGUGACGGUACCUGCAGAAAAAGCGCCGGCUAACUACGUGCCAGCAGCCGCGGUAAUACGUAGGGCGCAAGCGUUAUCCGGAAUUAUUGGGCGUAAAGAGCUCGUAGGCGGUUUGUCGCGUCUGCUGUGAAAUCCGGAGGCUCAACCUCCGGCCUGCAGUGGGUACGGGCAGACUAGAGUGCGGUAGGGGAGAUUGGAAUUCCUGGUGUAGCGGUGGAAUGCGCAGAUAUCAGGAGGAACACCGAUGGCGAAGGCAGAUCUCUGGGCCGUAACUGACGCUGAGGAGCGAAAGGGUGGGGAGCAAACAGGCUUAGAUACCCUGGUAGUCCACCCCGUAAACGUUGGGAACUAGUUGUGGGGUCCAUUCCACGGAUUCCGUGACGCAGCUAACGCAUUAAGUUCCCCGCCUGGGGAGUACGGCCGCAAGGCUAAAACUCAAAGGAAUUGACGGGGACCCGCACAAGCGGCGGAGCAUGCGGAUUAAUUCGAUGCAACGCGAAGAACCUUACCAAGGCUUGACAUAUACGAGAACGGGCCAGAAAUGGUCAACUCUUUGGACACUCGUAAACAGGUGGUGCAUGGUUGUCGUCAGCUCGUGUCGUGAGAUGUUGGGUUAAGUCCCGCAACGAGCGCAACCCUCGUUCUAUGUUGCCAG